rnacentral:rRNA from 1 species
GACAGCCAGGAUGUUGGCUUAGAAGCAGCCAUCAUUUAAAGAAAGCGUAAUAGCUCACUGGUCGAGUCGGCCUGCGCGGAAGAUGUAACGGGGCUAAACCAUGCACCGAAGCUGCGGCAGCGACACUAUGUGUUGUUGGGUAGGGGAGCGUUCUGUAAGCCGUUGAAGGUGUGCUGUGAGGCAUGCUGGAGGUAUCAGAAGUGCGAAUGCUGACAUAAGUAACGAUAAAGCGGGUGAAAAGCCCGCUCGCCGGAAGAC